rnacentral:rRNA from 1 species
GUAUGGUGCAAGCGUUAUCCGGAUUUACUGGGUGUAAAGGGAGCGCAGGCGGUGCGGCAAGUCUGAAGUGAAAGGCCAAGGCUUAACCAUGGAACUGCUUUGGAAACUAUGAGGCUAGAGUGCUGGAGAGGUAAGCGGAAUUCCUAGUGUAGCGGUGAAAUGCGUAGAUAUUAGGAGGAACACCAGUGGCGAAGGCGGCUUACUGGACAGAAACUGACGUUGAGGCUCGAAAGCGUGGGGAGCAA